ACCUCGGGAAAAGGAUUGGCUCUGAGGGCUGGGCACGGGGGUCCCAGUCCCGAACCCGUCGGCUGUCGGUGGACUGCUCGAGCUGCUUCCGCGGCGAGAGCGGGUCGUCGCGUGCCGGUCGGUGGACGGAUUGGGAACGGGCCCUUCGGGGCCUCUUCCCCGGGCGUCGAACAGUCGACUCAGAACUGGUACGGACAAGGGGAAUCCGAC
rnacentral:ncRNA from 1 species